rnacentral:rRNA from 1 species
AACGAACGCUGGCGGCAUGCCUAACACAUGCAAGUCGAACGAACCCUUCGGGGUUAGUGGCGCACGGGUGCGUAACGCGUGGGAAUCUGCCCUUUGCUUCGGAAUAACUCAGGGAAACUUGUGCUAAUACCGGAUGAUGUCUUCGGACCAAAGAUUUAUCGGCAAGGGAUGAGCCCGCGUAGGAUUAGGUAGUUGGUGGGGUAAAGGCCUACCAAGCCGACGAUCCUUAGCUGGUCUGAGAGGAUGAUCAGCCACACUGGGACUGAGACACGGCCCAGACUCCUACGGGAGGCAGCAGUGGGGAAUAUUGGACAAUGGGCGCAAGCCUGAUCCAGCAAUGCCGCGUGAGUGAUGAAGGCCCUCGGGUCGUAUAGCUCUUUUACCAGGGAUGAUAAUGACAGUACCUGGAGAAUAAGCUCCGGCUAACUCCGUG